AAGGUUUGAGUAAGAGCGCAUCUGUUGGGACCCGAAAGAUGGUGAACUAUGCCUGAAUAGGGUGAAGCCAGAGGAAACUCUGGUGGAGGCUCGUAGCGAUUCUGACGUGCAAAUCGAUCGUCAAAUUUGGGUAUAGGGGCGAAAGACUAAUCGAACUGUCUAGUAGCUGGUUCCCUCCGAAGUUUCCCUCAGGAUAGCUGGAACUUACGGCAGUUUUAUCAGGUAAAGCGAAUGAUUAGAGGUCUUAGGGUUAAAACAACCUUAACCUAUUCUCAAACUUUAAAUUGGUAAGAAGUCCGACUUGCUUAAUUGAAGCCGGACAGUGAAUGUAGCAAGAUUAGGGAUUUACCAGAACCUGCCAUAGGGGUGCAUUUGAACCUCAACAGAGUUACAACUAUUACAUAAACUAACCUUCCGAACUGUCGAAGUGAUGAGCUCCACUUUGCUUUUAGACAUAACAGGCCUUCAAGAACUUGUCCACGUGGAUGAUGAUGGUCUCAUUUGUCGUGGUGAACAAUGUGGCGGAUUUACGGCAACAAGUAGUGGUCUGACUAUCCUGCGAAUUGUAAUUAUAGUUGAUUUGAAGUUGACUAGUUCUAUUAGCAAGUUAACAAAAUAUAGCGCUAACAAUAUAUGAUAUAUAUUUAUGUACAUUUAGGCUCAAGUUCAAACUAAGUCAAACUCCAAUAGGGGUAUUAAAAGUUUCACUCCACAAAGGGCAUAUGGAACUCCUCCGUCAUGUUGACGAAGGCCGCUCCGUGGUCCCUCAAAGCCAUCUUGUUGAUGUAGAUAGCCAGCUGUUGGACAUCCUAUCUUCCUUGACUUUUUUAUGUCUGCAAGACUGGAAAACAAUUUAGCAUAUUACUUAAAUUUAACAAAUAGGUUUCAUGUAAAUAAAAAUAAUAAGAAGGACAUGGAAUAUAAAAUAUCUAUGAAGUCCAGCGGCUGUUGCAAGCGAAAGCUGCACAACGUCUACUAUCCUAACGUAGUGGUAAACCCCUCACCCUUCGACAGUUGAACAAAUUAGGUUGUUACAGAUAUAGACACAGCUAUCUGUACCAAAAGCUACUCCAGGCCAUAGUUACAUAUUUAUCCACAUUUUCAACCGCAAAAACCUCCAGGA
rnacentral:ncRNA from 1 species